rnacentral:rRNA from 1 species
CACCGCCCGUCACACCAUGGGAGUUUGUUUGCACCAGAAGCAGGUAGCUUAACCGCAAGGAGGGCGCUUGCCACGGUGUGGCCGAUGACUGGGGUG